CCAGGCCAGGGCCAGGCCAGCUCAGCUGCGUCUUUCUCCCGUCGCGUCCCGCGGUCUCUCCUACCUACAUCGGCCCCCGCACCCUGUCUCUUAUCUCCUUUCU